UUGGAGGGCAAGUCUGGUGCCAGCAGCCGCGGUAAUUCCAGCUCCAAUAGCGUAUAUUAAAGUUGUUGCAGUUAAAAAGCUCGUAGUUGAAUUUCGGGAUCAGAUUGUUGGUCGUGCCUCGGUACGUACUGGCAUUAUUGGUUCCUACCUUCUGAAGAACCGCGAUGUCAUUAAUUUGGUGUCGUGGGGAAUCAGGACUGUUACUUUGAAAAAAUUAGAGUGUUUAAAGCAGGCGCACGCUUGAAUACAUUAGCAUGGAAUAAUGAAAUAGGACGUUUGAUUCUAUUUUGUUGGUUUCUAGGAUCGACGUAAUGAUUAAUAGGGAUAGUUGGGGGCAUUAGUAUUCAAUUGUCAGAGGUGAAAUUCUUGGAUUUAUUGAAGACUAACUACUGCGAAAGCAUUUGCCAAGGAUGUUUUCAUUAAUCAAGAACGAAAGUUAGGGGAUCGAGGACGAUCAGAUACCGUCGUAGUCUUAACCAUAAACUAUGCCGACUAGGGAUCGGAUGAUGUUAAUUUUAUAAUGACUCAUUCGGCGCCUUACGGGAAAC
rnacentral:rRNA from 1 species